rnacentral:rRNA from 1 species
AACGAACGCUGGCGGCAGGCUUAACACAUGCAAGUCGAACGCCCCGCAAGGGGAGUGGCAGACGGGUGAGUAACGCGUGGGAACAUACCCUUUCCUGCGGAAUAGCUCCGGGAAACUGGAAUUAAUACCGCAUACGCCCUACGGGGGAAAGAUUUAUCGGGGAAGGAUUGGCCCGCGUUGGAUUAGCUAGUUGGUGGGGUAAAGGCCUACCAAGGCGACGAUCCAUAGCUGGUCUGAGAGGAUGAUCAGCCACAUUGGGACUGAGACACGGCCCAAACUCCUACGGGAGGCAGCAGUGGGGAAUAUUGGACAAUGGGCGCAAGCCUGAUCCAGCCAUGCCGCGUGAGUGAUGAAGGCCUUAGGGUUGUAAAGCUCUUUCACCGAUGGAGAUAAUGACGGUAGUCGGAGAAGAAGCCCCGGCUAACUUCGUG